CCUACGGGAGGCUGCAGUGGGGAAUAUUGCACAAUGGGGGAAACCCUGAUGCAGCGACGCCGCGUGAGUGAAGAAGGAUUUCGGGAUGUAAAGCUCUAUCAGCAGGGAAGAAAAUGACGGUACGUGAGUAAGAAGCCCCGGCUAACUACGUGCCAGCAGCCGCGGUAAUACGUAGGGGGCAAGCGUUAUCCGGAUUUACUGGGUGUAAAGGGAGCGUAGACGGCAGCACACGUCUGGCGUGAAAUGCCGGGGCUUAACCCCGGAACUGCUUUGGAAACUGUGCAGCUAGAGUGCAGGAGAGGUAAGUGGAAUUCCUCGUGUAGCGGUGAACUGCGUAGAUAUUAGGAGGAACUCCAGUGGCGAAGGCGGCUUACUGGACUGUACCUGACGUUCAGGCUCGAAAGCGUGGGGAGCAAACAGGAUUAGAUACCCGUGUAGUC
rnacentral:rRNA from 1 species